UAUGAAGCAGGUUUGAGGGGUAUCAUAUGAAGCAGGUUUGAGGGGUAUCCCACGAAGCAGGUUUGAGGGGUAUCCUACGGAGCAGGUCUGAGGGGUAUCCCACGAAGCAGGUUUGAGGGGUAUCCCACGAAGCAGGUCUGAGGGGUAUCCCACGAAGCAGGUUUGAGGGGUAUCCUAUGAAGCAGGUUUGAGGGGUAUCCUAUGAAGCAGGUUUGAGGGGUAUCCUAUGAAGCAGGUUUGAGGGGUAUCCUAUGAAGCAGGUUUGAGGGGUAUCCUAUGAAGCAGGUUUGAGGGGUAUCCUAUGAAGCAGGUUUGAGGGGUAUCCUAUGAAGCAGGUUUGAGGGGUAUCCUACGAAGCAGGUUUGAGGGGUAUCCUAUGAAGCAGGUUUGAGGGGUAUCCUAUGAAGCAGGUUUGAGGGGUAUCCUACGAAGCAGGUUUGAGGGGUAUCCUAUGAAGCAGGUUUGAGGGGUAUCCUACGAAGCAGGUUUGAGGGGUAUCCUACGAAGCAGG